rnacentral:rRNA from 1 species
GAGGGGCAGCACAGGUAGCAAUACUGGGUGGCGACCGGCAAACGGGUGCGGAACACGUACGUAACCUUCCUUUAAGUGGGAGAUAGCCCGAAGAAAUUCGGAUUAAUACCCCAUAAGAUUGUGGAGUGGCAUCACUCAGCAAUUAAAGAACUUCGCUUAAAGAUGGGCGUGCGGCUGAUUAGGUAGUUGGUGAGGUAACGGCUCACCAAGCCAACGAUCAGUAACUGGCGUGAGAGCGCGACCAGUCACACGGGCACUGAGACACGGGCCCGACUCCUACGGGAGGCAGCAGUAAGGAAUAUUGGUCAAUGGACGCAAGUCUGAACCAGCCAUGCCGCGUGAAGGAUGAAGGUCCUCUGGAUUGUAAACUUCUUUUAUGUGGGAAGAAACCGCUUUUUUCUAAAGGCGUUGACGGUACCAUAGGAAUAAGCACCGGCUAACUCCGUGCCAGCAGCCGCGGUAAUACGGAGGGUGCAAGCGUUAUCCGGAUUCACUGGGUUUAAAGGGUGCGUAGGCGGAUUAGUAAGUCCGUGGUGAAAUCUCCAAGCUUAACUUGGAAACUGCCGUGGAUACUAUUAGUCUUGAAUGUUGUGGAGGUUAGCGGAAUAUGUCAUGUAGCGGUGA